rnacentral:rRNA from 1 species
UACGGGGGGGGCAAGCGUUGUUCGGAAUUACUGGGCGUAAAGGGCUCGUAGGCGGCCAACUAAGUCGGAUGUGAAAUCCCCAGGCUUAACCUGGGAACUGCAUCCGAUACUGGAUGGCUUGAAUCCGGGAGAGGGAUGCGGAAUUCCAGGUGUAGCGGUGAAAUGCGUAGAUAUCGGGAGGAACACCUGUGGCGAAAGCGGCUCACUGGACCAUAACUGACGCUGAUGCACGAAAGCUAGGGGAGCAAACAGG